rnacentral:misc_RNA from 1 species
GGGGUCUUAGACUCCAAAAGACCCAUCUCUAUCAACCCAGUUCAGUCACCCUUACAAGGAGAAAAAUUCAUACUGUAGUGAAGGCAACAGCUCGGGUUGAUAAGUUCUCGAAAAGUGAUGUCAUUGUUUCUCCAUCCAUUCUCUCUGCUAAUUUUUCAAAGCUAGGAGAGCAGGUAAAAGCAGUAGAGUUGGGAGGUUGUGAUUGGAUCCAUGUUGAUGUAAUGGAUGGUCGUUUUGUUCCGAACAUCACCAUUGGGCCUCUUGUGGUUGAUGCUUUGCGGCCAGUGACAGAUCUUCCUUUGGAUGUGCAUUUGAUGAUUGUGGAACCUGAACAAAGAGUGCCAGAUUUUAUCAAGGCUGGAGCUGACAUAGUCAGUGUUCACUGUGAACAAUCCUCCACCAUCCAUUUGCAUCGCACAAUAGAUCAGAUAAAAAGUCUUGGAGCUAAAGCUGGAGUUGUCUUGAACCCU